CCUGCACAGAGCCCUGACCUCAACCCCAUCAAACACCUUUGGGAUGAAUUAGAACGCCAACUGUGAGCCAGGCCUAAUCGGCCAACAUCAGUGCUCGACAUCACUAACGCUCUUGUGGCUGAAUGGAAACAAGUCCCGACAAUGUUCCAACAUCUAGUGGAAAGCCUUCCCAGAAGAGUGGAGGAGCAAAUGGGGGACCAAGUCCAUAUUAAUGCCUAUGAUUAUGGAAUGAGAUGUUCAACAAUGUUCAGGUGUCCACAUGCUUUUGGUCAUGUAGUGUACUUUGUAGUCUCCAAAUUUCCAGAGCAUGUCUUUAAUUUAAAAGUCACAAAAUGGAUGUACCAAUCACAGAUUGACCCUUUCACUCACACGUUGACGAGCCCAAUAACUUGAUUAGGCUGAAGGGAGGGCUGGACAAAGUAGGUUGUAUGGAAGAGUUGACAAUGAUGACAACAUCCACUCAUUCUAUCUUGUGGAUUAAAAACUUAAGUUUAUUAAAAAAGUGCAAUGCAAAGAUAUUCAAAAAGUACAGUUGAAUAGAAAAAACAUGUAUAAUACUGAUAGUAUUCUGUAAAAAUCAUAAAGAAAUAUGUUAUUAUAUCAUGUAAUGACAGAAAAAUGAAUCAAAGAUAAUACAUUUCAGACAUUGACAACAUAAACAAUAAAUAUAAAAUAGCCAUGAUGGUGCCGCUAUGGAAGCCAUGGAUGAUCGUUCUCAUAAAUGUUUUGUACAUUUAAUCAUAUUUAGUGGUCUUUAAAGGUCCAAUGCAACCACUUUUAUCUCAAUAUCAAAUCAUUUCUGGGUAACAAGUAAGAAUCUUACUGUGAUUGUGGUAAAAAAAAAAAAAAAAAAUAGUUUCUAAGCAAAGAGCAAUUUGUCAAACAAGAAUGAUGCUAUGAAUGUGUGGGAGUGGUCUGAGUGGGAAGGGGAAAACUGAAUAUUAGGCAGUAGUUCCUAAUGUCUGGUAUACUCAGUGUAUAUACACACAACACAGGAAAUCACAUUUUUUGACUGCACUGGGCCUUUAAGUUUUUUUGUAUGGCCAUUUUUCUAUCAGCUUUUUGUUUUUUGAUUGGUAAUUUAGAAUCCAUAAUUAAUUUGUCAUCAAUAAUGAUUUUAAAGUUCGAAUUUGCCUGUUUUGGCUCAAUUGCUAUCUAACAAGCUAGCUUGGAGACUGUGUGUAUGUGAAUGGACUAGAAUGUCAUAACACUGGAGAGAAGCAGAAGAAGUGAGAGGACUGCAUGAGGAGAUGGCUGGGACUAGUGGAUAAGAUACUUUAACUGCUAAUGUUAUUCUUCCAGCAUCUUUGUGGCAGCAUAAUAGCAUCACCCAAGUGGGUGCUACAUAGAGUUAGUGGAGAGGAGUGGCUAGCCAGCUAAGCUAAGCAUCACCAGCAUGGUGCGUUGCUGAGGCUACGGACCCUGACUGUCUUUCUACUCUGAGCGGCUCCCUCUGUUCAUAGGAUCAUCAGACCGUCAAUGCUUCCUCAGACCUCGGUGUCAUCAGAUCUGCUUCCCUGAUCAUCUAUCAUCCCUUCCAGUUUCAUUACUCUCAAAAUGACCUGUAACAUAUCACCACACAAAGUUACUUAUCCCUCCAUCUCCCUCAAGGACCUGUAACAUAUCACCACACAAAGUUAUUUAUCCCUCCA
ensembl:lncRNA